CUGGGAAGAAAAGUUUACAUCAUCAUAAGCUCACCAUCAAUCGCAAAACAAAUCCUCAAAGACCACGACGCCAUCUUCGCCAACCGCGACAUUCCGGUGGCGGCCAUAAAAGGAACCUUUGGCGGACUCGACAUCGUGUGGAGAUCCAAUGGCCCAGAAUUACACAAGCUACGAAAGCUCGUCGUAAGUGAAAUCAUGAGCAACAAAGGCCUCAAUGCUUGCUACGAGUUUCGCCGUUGAGAGAUCCGACAUAUGGUGAAGAAUAUUCAUGGAAAAAUCGGGUCACCCAUUAACCUCAGUGAACAAAUAUUCUUAACAACGUUCAACGUUACGGUUAACAUGCUUUGGGGUGGUUCGUUGAAUGGAGAAGAAUCGAACCUUGGGCUUGAAUUUAAGGAUCGAUUCGAGGAAUUUUUGAGAUUGAUGGUAGAACCCAAUGUUUCUGAUAUGUUCCCGGUGAUAGAGCAGCGAAGGAAGCUCGGAGAGGGACCAAAAAUGGCUGAUAGUAAGGAUUUUUUGCAGCAAUUGUUGGAGCUGAACCAAACAGGAGAUGUCAAAACUUCAUUAUCCAUGAAGGAAAUAAACGCUGUGCUGCUGGUAAGCAUACACACUAAAUUUUGAAAUCCGGAAUUCUAAAAAUAUAACGACAUUACUAAAUUUCAAAAAUUUACAAAAACUAACAUAUUUUAACCCAGGGCGAGAUUCGGGUAUAUCAGUGUAAAACAAAUUUAAGUGGUUUUACAUUUUUUCUUAACUUUUUAAACGAAUAAUAUUUUAAUAAAACAACGGUCAUAUUUCAUAAAUUAUUCAUGUAGAUCAUGCACAUUAAGUUUAGUAUAAAUUAAAAUGUUUAACUAUUCGCUUUUUGUAAAAAAAAAAUUUAAAUAUUCAUUCGUUAAAAUAUUAAUCAUACAAGAAUAUACAAAAAUAUGUAAAUUACUCAAAUUUCGAUGUAAAUUGAUUCUUUCCCUUAUAUAUAGGCAUGGUUUAAAAAAAAUACAUAACAAUCCAUGAAAUUGGUCGGUUUAGUUGUAAACAAUAUGAUUUUGGAGAUUUCCGGUAUGUUUUGUAGGGUGUGUAAUUGGUUGAUUUAAUUAGUUCAGCUUAAAAAAAGUAAUCGAUUUUUUUAAAAUAAAAAUUAGUAACCGAGCUGAUUUAAAGAUGAAAACACAAUAAUAUUUAAUUUAAAAAUAAGGAAUAUUGAUGAAUUUCAUUAUUUUUGUUAAAAUAUAUUUAGGUUUAGGUUUUGAAUAACCUUAAAACACAUUGUUAGUGCUUUUAUUUCGAUAAAAUUUAAGAUUUUGUUUCUAAGAAGUUAAUUUUUUUUAUUCAAAAUCUUAAUUCAACUGUUAAUAUGAGAGAUUUUUUUGUCAAAAUUUAUCAAUUUGAAAUAUUAGUAUUUUCAUAUAAUUUGAUAAUAAUGGAUAAAAACUAAGUUAAUAAAAAUUAACUAAAUUAUUAAAGGUGUUAAUGACUAAACUACAAUUUUUAAAUUGAAAAUAUAAUGAAUAAAUCUCAAAUCCUGAAUAAUGGGUACAUUAAUUAAUUGAUUGUAACUUAUUUUAAAGUAUAUAAAACCCAGCGCUAUUGAUAUACAUUCAACCUAUAUAAUGUAUUUUAAUUUAACACUCUAAUCAUAAUUAAAUUAAUUAAAUUAUCUCAAUUAGAUCGAUUAAUUUGAUUUUAAUUAAAAUCUGCUCAACUUUAAUCCUUUGUCUCAAAUUGUGGGUAUAGAAUAUUGUAAACGGCGCUACGGACACAACAUUUACAACAAUGGAGUGGGCGAUGACGGAAUUACUACGACACCCAGAUAAAUUGCGAAGAGUCGUCGACGAAUUGGAUGCAAUAAUCGGUGGCCCAAACAUCGUUGAAGAGUUCCAUCUUCCUCGCCUACUCUAUUUAGAAGCUGUGGUGAAAGAGACAUUACGAAUUCACCCACCAGCUCCUUUGCUAAUGCCACACAUGCCGAGUGAGACCAUCAUCGUAGCCGGUUACACUAUCCCUAAAAAUUCUAAUAUUUUCUUCAACGUGUGGGAAAUACAAAGGGACGCCGAGUUCUGGGAAGACCCUCUUCAAUUCGAGCCAGAAAGGUUCUUGAAUGUCAUUGAGAAAAGGAAUUAUAAGGGAAAUAGUUUCGAUUUUUUCCCGUUUGGAUCGGGGAGGAGGAUUUGUGUUGGGAUUUCAAUGGCAGAGAAAAUUAUGAUGCUGGUGCUGGCGACGUUGUUGCAUUGUUUCGAAUGGGAAUUGCCGAAUGGGCGAAAACCUGAUGUGAAAGAGCAACUGCGAUUGGUGUUGUCGAAGGUGGAGCCGCUUAUUGUUGUGCCCAUUGCGCGUUCAUCUAAUUCAAUGCAAUAUCAAUAAAUUUGUGGUUAAAUAUGCUUUAAGUCAUUAUACUUUUCAUAAAUUUUAAAUUUAAUCCUUGUACUUUUAUUUAUAAAAAUUUAAUCUAUCUACUUAUUUUUAUUAGUAUUCACGCUCAUAUUUAAUUCAAAUAUUUUUUUUGAAUUCAAUUUAACUCAAAUUUCGAGUUUUAUUUAAAAUUUGGAACUUAAUCAAAAUUUAAACUUUGCCAUGAAUCUCAAAAUUUGAUUUUUUUUUUUUUUGAAAUGAAACCCGAAAUGUGGAAUUACAUAAAACUUGAAGUUGAAGCUCGAGACUAGUGAAUCAAUGUUAUAUUAAAGUAUAAAUAAGAUAUUUUGUGUUUAUAUUAUAAUUUCAUUAUUAAUAUGCAUAAGUGGUAAUAAUAUAAUAUUAAAAGGAAAAGAGAUAAGCAUGGUGAGUGGGCCGACAUUCACCCUACCAUGCAUCAAAUAGAUGCUGAUUUGAAUAUAUAUACAUAUACAUAUAUAAAAAAAAAAGAGAUAAUCACAAACUCAGUUAGUAUGAAUAUUAUUGAUCUUAUUAUUCAUUAAAUACUUAGAUUUAAUACAAUAAAUAAGUUUAGUUUUAUUUAUUUUCUGUGUAAUUACAAUCAAAAUUUCUAUCUCUAGAAAGUUCAACAAUUCUGGAAAGUUGAUGAUUAAUUGUUUAUCACAUUUAGAAUAUUUAUGGCGACAGAUGAGGAAAUGCUAUUACCUCCAAUUGCCGCAACCUCAUAUUGCUGUAAUCUCGUUUUAUUAUAUAUGAUUGUAAUUAAGUCUUCCAAUUCCCAGGGAAGUGGUGAAUUACAUAAUUUUUUAAUAAUUCAAAUAAGUACUUCAUUCCCUCUGCUUUUUUUUCUAUUCCAACCAGACUACCCACCCAUGUCGAACUUCUACGAUAAGGUUGCUGGCGAAGGUUGGUUGCGCCGCCACGACGGACUGGCUGCGUUCACCAUCACCGAAGUGGUAGCCACUCUCACGGUGGCGACGUUAGUAAUUAUCUAUUUCUCACGGUUGGUUAAGAAACUCAUCAUCAAAACCAAGCCUUCGCCGCUGCCGCCACCAGGCCCGAUAGGCCUGCCGAUACUCGGCCACCUCCUUUUCAUCAAACCCGAUUUCCUCCAAUACGUAACCGAGCAAUCCAAAAUCCACGGCCCCAUCAUCAAGCUUCAGCUGGGAAGAAAAGUUUACAUCAUCAUAAGCUCACCAUCAAUCGCAAAACAAAUCCUCAAAGACCACGACGCCAUCUUCGCCAACCGCGACAUUCCGGUGGCGGCCAUAAAAGGAACCUUUGGCGGACUCGACAUUGUGUGGAGAUCCAAUGGCCCAGAAUUACACAAGCUACGAAAGCUCGUCGUAAGUGAAAUCAUGAGCAACAAAGGCCUCAAUGCUUGCUACGAGUUUCGCCAACGAGAGAUCCGACAUAUGGUGAAGAAUAUUCAUGGAAAAAUCGGGUCACCCAUUAACCUCAGCGAACAAAUAUUCUUAACAACUUUCAACGUUACGGUUAACAUGCUAUGGGGUGGUUCUUUGAAUGGAGAAGAAUUGAACCUUGGGCUUGAAUUUAAGGAUCGAUUCGAGGAAUUUAUGAGAUUGAUGGUAGAACCCAAUGUUUCUGAUAUGUUCCCGGUGCUCAGGCCAUUUGAUUUACAAGGAAUUGAAUCCAAAGCCAAGAAAAAUAUUUCGUGGUUUUAUGAGUUUUUCGAAUCGGUGAUAGAGCAGCGAAAGAAGCUCGGAGAGGGACCCAAAAUGGCUGAUAGUAAGGAUUUUUUGCAGCAAUUGUUGGAGCUGAACCAAACAGGAGAUGUCAAAACUUCAUUAUCCAUGAAGGAAAUAAACGCUGUCUUGCUGGUAAGCAUACACACUGAAUUUUGAAAUCCGGAAUUCUAAAAAUAUAACUACAUUACUAAAUUUUAAAAAAUUACAAAAACUAUAUUACAUAUUUUAAUCCGGCAUACCGAUAUAAAAUUUAAGUGGUUUUAUACUCUUUCGUAACAUUUUACACAAUUAAUAUUUUAAUAAAUCAACGGUCAUAUUUCAUAGUUCAUACUCUAUUCAUGUAAAUCGUGCAUAUCAAGUUUGGCAUAAAUUAAAAAUUUUUAACUAUUCGUUUUAUGUAAAAGAAAUUUCAAUUGUUCAUUCAUUAAAAUAUUAAUGGUACAAAAAUUACUCCAAUUUCACAUCAACAUAAGUUGGUCCAUUCCCAGACAUAUAUGUAUAUAUAUAGACAUGGUUUAAAAAAAAGUACAUAGCAAUCCAUGGAAUUGAUCGAUUUAGUUAUAAACUUUAUGAUUUUGGAGAUAAAAUUUAGGAUUUUGUAAGUUAAUUUUAUAUUUAAAAUAUUAAUUCAACUGUUAAUAUCAAAAAUAUUUUUCAUCAAAAUUUACCAACAUGAAAUAUUAAUUUGAGUGUUGUCAUAUGUGGUGAUAAUAAUUGAUAAAAUAAAUAAAUAUACUAACUUAAUAAAAUUUAACUGAAAUACUAAAGAUGUUAAUGACUGCACUAUAAUUUUUAAAUUAAAAAUAUAAAGGUAUUUUAACCUUUGAAUAAAGGGUACAUUUAAUUGGAUUGGAACUUAUUUUAAAGUAUAUAAAAUCACUUAAUUUUGCUAUUGAUUUAAAAAUAAACAUCCAACUUACCUAAUGUAUUUUAAUUUUACACUCUGAUCAAAAUUUAAUUAAUUUAAUAGAAUUAAAUUAAUUAAAUUAUUUCGAUUCGAUAAAUUAAUUCGAUUUUAAUUAAAUUUUGUUCAACUUUAAUCUUUUGUCUCUAAUUGUGAGUAUAGAAUAUUGUAACUGGCGCUACGGACACGACAUUUACAACAAUAGAGUGGGCGAUGACGGAAUUACUACGACACCCAGAUAAAUUGCGAAGAGUCGUUGAGGAAUUGGAUGCAAUAAUCGGUGACCAAAACAUUGUUGAAGAGUUCCAUCUUCCUCGCCUACUCUAUUUAGAAGCUGUGGUGAAAGAGACGUUACGAAUUCACCCACCGGCUCCUUUGCUAAUGCCACACAUGCCGAGCGAGACCAUCGUCGUAGCCGGUUAUACUAUCCCAAAAAAUUCCAAUAUUUUCUUCAAUGUGUGGGCAAUACAAAGGGACACCCAAUUCUGGGAAGACCCUCUUCAAUUCGAGCCGGAAAGGUUCUUGAAUGUCACUGAGAAAAGGAAUUAUAAGGGAAAUAGUUUCGAUUUUUUCCCGUUUGGAUCGGGGAGGAGGAUUUGUGUUGGGAUUUCAAUGGCAGAGAAAAUUAUGAUGCUGGUGUUGGUGACAUUGUUGCAUUGUUUCGAAUGGGAAUUGCCGAAUGGGCGAAAACCUGAUGUGAAAGAGCAACUACGAUUGGUGUUGUCAAAGGUGGAGCCGCUUGUUGCUGUGCCCAUUGCGCGUUCAUCUAAUUCAAUGCAAUAUCAAUAAAUUUGUGGUUAAAAUAUGCUUUAAGUCAUUAUACUUUUCAUAAAAUUUAAAUUUAAUCCUUGUACUUUUAUUUAUAGAAAUUUAAACCAUCUACUUAUUUUUAUUAAUAUUAUAAUAACCGUAUGACUAUACGGUUAUUUUUAUAUAUAUAUAUAUAUCUUAGAAACUCAUGCACUCUUAUGGUAGGAUGAAAAUAUGUAUUUUUAAUCUAUAUAUUUGCAUGUUCAUAUAUUUUACGGGUCAUAGAAUAUGCAUAUAUUUAAAUAUAUGUCAUGUACAUGUGUUUUGAUAUGAUGUUAUACGUAUGGCCAUCUGCCAAUGGAUAUAUUUGUUUGUGUUAUUUCAUUGUUCAUUUACGCGACUAUCAACUCACGUUUUCAUGUUACUCAAACGUUUACUCGAGAUUAUUUCGCAUUAAAAUUUAAGUGAUUUUAUAUAUUUUUAUAAUUUUUUAUAUGAUUAAUAUUUUAAUAAUUUAACUAUCAUAUUUCAUGCUCUAUUUAUGUAGUUUAUGUACAUCAAAUUUAAUAUAAAUUAAUAAUUUCUAACUUUUUAUUUUAUGUAAAAAAAAACUUUUAACUCAAAUAUCAAACAAAAACGGACAAAUUAUUCCUUACAUGUUAAAUUAAAUAUCAAACAAAGACGGAUGUGAAAGAGGUGAGCAUUCAAUUUCGGGUUAGUUGAGUUAAUGAGUCCUAUUUUAUCAACCUAAUUUGAUUUGAAUUUUUUUUUCAAAUCGAGUUAAGUUAAAUCAAAUCCAGUGAAAUUGUUCGAAUUAAAUUUUAAAAAACUAAACUUGUCGAAUUGGUAAUUUACUUGUUUAAGCCUUCAAAAUUAUUAUUUUGGAUUCUUUUAAAUUUUUUUUUAAAUUUUCUAUUUUCAUAAUUUUUUAAAUAAAAAAUUAUGAAUGUUUGAAUUUUUUAAAAUUAUUUUGAUUUCUUUUUUGUUGAAUGAGAAUAAUUUGCGCAUUUUCGAAAUUGAUAGGGGCGAAAGGAGUAUUUACAUCAAUAUGUUAUUCAAGUCAUUUGAAUUGUGAAAUUUAACUCGACUUGAACUUGAAAAACCAAAUCACUUAUUCAAGUUGACUCAAAAAAUCGAAUAAAUCAAAUAACUCAAUUCGAUUAUGUAACACCCCUUAACCCCGAACCGUCGCCGGAACAGAAUUACGAGGCAUUACCGGACGUAUCGAACGAUUUACAACAAUUCUUAAAUAAAUAACCAAUAUAUUAAAAUAAUUCAUAAAAUUUAUUAGUUUGUUUACCAAAUGACUUCAUUUUUUUUUAUAAAAAUUUCGGCAGCAUUUCUGCUUAUUUUUACAUAAAACCCCCUGCAAAUUAAAACCAUAUAGUUCCCAAAUAUCAUCAAUUCAACCAAUUCAUUUCACAUUCACAUUUUCUAUUCUAAAUACUUCUAAUCAAACUCAAUCUACACAAUAUCAAUUUAAAAUUUAACAAUGUACUAAUUAGAUAAAAUAGAUAGACUUCUUUCAUUAAAAUCCAUAAACUUUUAAUACUAACAUUUUUAACCAUUAUAUAAUAAAACAUAAUAACCUUUAUACACAAUCUAUGUACAUGCCACCUUUACCAAAGGAAAAAUACAUCACCAAGUUUUGCCGAAGCCGGGAUUAAUCUGGAUGCUGAACCGGGACCUUUGACUUCUAUUGACCUGCGCACGGAAACAACCGUACGCUGAGUAAUCCAUACUCAGUGGUAUUACCAUAAUUCAAAUUAUAACAAUAAUGUACAUGUAAUGCAUAAAUCGUAUAUACAAUUUAAAUUAAAUAUUUCAACAAUAGCAAUUCAUCAACCAAUAUCGUAUAUCCACAAUUUGAGUUUGAAUAAUUCACGAACCUUAGGUUCAUUUCUCAAUCUCAUUUCACAUUUCAAUUCACAAUUCAACUUUUUCAUAUCAUUUCAAUAGCUCGUUUGACCAACUCGUUCGGUUUAUCAUUUCAUCAUUUACCCUAUUAACAAAACUCGGACUUUGGCGGAUACACGGAUCCAACCAAACACACCAGAAUGGCACCCAGUGCCUCAUCGGAUAGUUCGAAGCAAUAGUUGACACCCAGUGUCUCAUCGGCAAAGCCGAAGAAAGUUGGUACCCAGUACCUCAUCGAAUCUAUCCGAAGAAAUAUAGUGACACCCAGUGUCUCAUCGACUCGAGGUCGAAGUAUCCCUGAACUCUUCCAAUCCUAUGGCAUGCCAACUAUAUCCGACUCAGCCCGACUAGUUAAUAGGGUAUUUAAAUCACAUAUAUUCUCAAUUCAAUUACAAUUUUUCACAUUUUCAAUUCAAUCAUUUUUCCACCUUUCAAUCAAUAAUUAUUUCACAACUUCACACAUUUUCACAACUCAAUACAUUUCCAUACAACUUAAUACCAUUCACAAUUCGAUUCAAAUUCAUUUCCCGCUUUCAAUCAACAAACAAUUUAAAUAUUAUUUCAUAUCAACUAUUCAAUUUAAUUCCCACUCAUAAUAAUAAUAAUAAUACUAAUAAUAAUACUAAUACUAAUAUUAAUACUUACCUCACAUUUCAUUUACUAGACACAUAAAUUAAAAUUUAACAUUAAAAAAUAAAUAAUUUGAAUUAUAGUAAUACAAACCGUAAUUUUCUCGAGUUUACUCCUCGAUAAUCUUCUCUUUUCCCUUCCGUGCCGACGCUUCUGGUUCUUUGCUAGCUACGAAAAUGAUAAUAAUUUAUACUAUUAAUUUCAGUACUAAUUAUGAUAAUAAUUAAAUUUCUAUUCAAUUUCUUCCUUAUUCUCAAUUUAAUCCUAACUAAAUUCACUUACUUUCCUAAUUCAAUUCACACUCUAUUUCUAUUCAAAUUUCAUCCAAACUAAAAUUUAACUAUCAAAAUUUCAGCAUAUUUUGGUAAUUUCGAAUUUCCCUCAAUUUAGUCCCUAAAACAUAAAACUUAUAGUUUCUUUUACAAUUUAAUCCCUUUUUCAAUUCUAACUUAAAAUUCCUUCAAGUUAAUCCCUAAUUCAUCUCUUUUGUUCAACAUAAACUAUACUUGAAAACCUAUGAACUUACAAAAUAUCAACUUAAUUCCAUCAAAACUUUGUUUUAAAGCUUUUAGAACAUUAGAAUUAAGAGGAAAGGGCUAAUUUGACUUACCAAAUUAAAUUCAAGCUUCAAAAACCAUAUUUUCCCUUUUUCUUUUUCUUUCUUUCUUUCUCCCCUGUUUCGUCUCUUUCUCUGUUCCUUUGUUCUUUCUAUUCUGUUUCUUUUCUGUUUUGUUUCUUUCUUUUUCUUUUUAUUUCCUUUUAUUUAAUUUCUUUAAUAUAAUAAUAAUUAAAACAAAUAUCUACUUAGUAAUUAAUAAAAAUAUUACAAAUGUAUGUAUUUUAUUAAUACACUUGUAUUAAAUUAUCACCAUACAUUUGUCUUUAUUUAAUUUAUUUCUUAAUAUAAUAUUUAUAAUGUAAUUAAUUUAAUAAUAUACUUUAUAAUUAAUUUAUAUAUUUAUAUAAAUAAUAAUAUAAAAAUCUAAGAUUUUUACAAUGUUAUGCCGCCUCAACUUCCAAAUGUGGCUUAAUUGCCCAUUUGGUCCCUAUUAUUUUUCUUUAAUCUAUAAUUAUGCUUUCACUCUUUAUUCAAUUUAAUCCUUUUUACUAAUUACUCAUAAUUAAACUAAAUUCACCUAUCUAAAACUUAAUUAAACACACAACUAGUCUCGUAAAUAUUUCUAAUAAUUAUUUUCGGACUCAAUUUACUAGGACGGAGGCCCGAUAUUAUACUUUUCCGAUGCCCAUGAAUUUUGGGUCAUUACAGAUUAACUCGAAAUUCAAAAAAUUUUCAAUUCUUUCAAGUAAAAUAGAAUAACUCAAAAAAUUGGAUUAAUAGUAGUCCUUAGAUAAAAGUUUCAAUAAUUAUGUAACAUCUCUCGAGAAGUGAACAGUGUUAAUUCGGGUUGGCACGUGCUUGAAAUUUUCGGAGUAGAUAAAAAAAUAUACUUAUUAAUAUUAGUAGGGAAGGUGAUUGGAAAUUAUAAGAAAUUAAAAGGACUUUUGAAUUUGGGAAAAUUAAUUUAAGAAAUGGAUUAAAUUGUAGAAGUGUGAGAAGUUUUGGGUGAUAGUGUAAAAAUAAAAAUAGGGAAAGGAUUAGAUUAAAUGGAUGAGAAAAAGAGCAAGGACUUGGAGUAGAAUUUAACCAUGAAAGAACAGAAAGGAGUGGAUGAUAUUGAAGAGGAAUGACAUCGGACAUGUGGCAUGGCAAUGAGAUUUUUCUUUAAUAAAAUAUAUAUAAAAAAAGGUGAAAGAUAUUUUGAUAGAAGGUUGUAGAAAAGGAAAUUCAGAUUUGUGACUGGGAGAGUUGUUGUCACGAACUACAUUUCCACUGCCUCUUAUCUUUUUUCCUAUUCAAACCAGAGUACCCAUCGAUGUCGAACUUCUACGAUAAGGUUGUAGUCCUUGCCGGCGAUGGACUCGCUGCAUUCACUAUCACCGAAGUUGCAGCCACUCUCACGGUGGCGACGCUACUAAUUAUCUAUUUCUCACGGUUGGUUAAGAAACACGUCAUCAAAACUAAGCUGUCGCCGCCAGGCCCGGUAGGCUUGCCGAUACUCGGCCACCUCCUCUUCAUCAAACCCGAUUUCCUCCAAUACGUAACCAAGCAAUCCCAAAUCCACGGUCGUAUCAUCAAGCUUCAGCUGGGAAGAAAAGUUUACAUCAUCAUAAGCUCACCAUCAAUCGCAAAACAAAUCCUCAAAGACCACGACGCCAUUUUCGCCAACCGCGACAUUCCGGUGGCGGCCAUAAAAGGAACCUUUGGCGGACUUGACAUUGUGUGGAGAUCCAACGGCCCAGAAUUGCAGAAGCUACGUAAGCUCGUCGUACGUGAAAUCAUGAGCAACAAAGGCCUCGAUGCGUGCUACGAAUUUCGCCGACGAGAGAUCCGACAAAUGGUGAAGAAUAUCCAUGGAAAAAUCGGGUCUCCCAUUAACCUCAGCGAACAAAUAUUCUUAACAACGCUGAGCGUUACGAUCAGCAUGCUAUGGGGUGGUUCAUUGAAUGGAGAAGAAGCAAAGCUUGGGCUUGAAAUUAAGGAUCGAUUAGAGGAAUUUAUGAAAUUGAUGGGAGAACCCAAUAU
rnacentral:lncRNA from 1 species